AACGAACGCUGGCGGCAGGCUUAACACAUGCAAGUCGAGCGCCUCGCAAGGGGAGCGGCAGACGGGUGAGUAACGCGUGGGAACAUGCCCAAAGGUACGGAACAACUCCGGGAAACUGGAGCUAAUACCGUAUGUGACCGAGAGGUGAAAGAUUUAUCGCCUUUGGAUUGGCCCGCGUUGGAUUAGCUAGUUGGUGGGGUAAAGGCCUACCAAGGCGACGAGCCAUAGCUGGUCUGAGAGGAUGAUCAGCCACACUGGGACUGAGACACGGCCCAGACUCCUACGGGAGGCAGCAGUGGGGAAUAUUGGACAAUGGGCGCAAGCCUGAUCCAGCCAUGCCGCGUGAGUGAUGAAGGCCUUAGGGUUGUAAAGCUCUUUCGCCAGGGACGAUAAUGACGGUACCUGGAUAAGAAGCCCCGGCUAACUUCGUGCCAGCCGCCGCAGUAACAC
rnacentral:rRNA from 1 species